rnacentral:misc_RNA from 1 species
CUUAUCAUUUAGAGGAAGGAGAAGUCGUAACAAGGUUUCCGUAGGUGAACCUGCGGAAGGAUCAUUGUCAAAACCUGCUCUGCAGAACGACCCGCGAACACGUUUAUAAUACCUAAGUGGAGCGGGGGGCUUAUGCUCCCUAGACCCACUAAUGCUGAUGGGACGGACAGUGGGCUUCGCUCAAAUUGUCCGCUCAGAGGCACAAUAACCAACCCCGGCGCAGGUAGCGCCAAGGAAUAUGAACUGAAAAGAGCACGCUGCCACAGCCCCCGGAAACGGUGGGCCUUGGGCAUGCGUCGCGCUCUUUCAAAAAUCAAAACAACUCUCGGCAACGGAUAUCUCGGCUCUCGCAUCGAUGAAGAACGCAGCAAAAUGCGAUACUUGGUGUGAAUUGCAGAAUCCCGUGAAUCAUCGAGUUUUUGAACGCAAGUUGCGCCCGAAGCCUUCCGGUCAAGGGCACGUCUGCCUGGGUGUCACGCAACCGUUGCUCCUAACCCUUUCGACAAGUCGAUGGGCAUUGGGGCGGAUGUUGGCCUCCCGUGUGCUAUGAGGCAUGCGGCUGGCCCAAAAGCUUAGUUCUCGGCAAAGGUUGCCACGACAAUCGGUGGUUGUAAGACCCUCUGACACAGUCGUGCACGAUCAUAUGCCUUAUGGGGACCCAGAGACCCUGAUGCAGCCUUGAAGGCUUGCUCAAAUCGCGACCCCAGGUCAGGCGGGACUACCCGCUGAGUUUAAGCAUA